AACAAACUGAAAUCAAAGAAUUUUUCACAUUUGUCUUAAGAAUUGACUCAAACUGACUAAUCGAUUCUCAAAAUAGUGAUUCAUUUACAAGUCU